rnacentral:lncRNA from 1 species
GCCGCGCGCAGUCCCUAGCGCAACAUGCAGGAUCUUCCCGGCCUGACUGCUGCACCUCGAUCGUGAGUCGCCCCUGCCUGAGCGGCUUCCACCGCCUGGAAAAAACUAAGAAACUCAAGAGGAGUCAUCAGAAUUCCUGCCAUGUGGGAGUCAUCAACCCAAUGGGUGACUUCUUUUCUGCUCCACAUAUAAGAGUGUUUUCGUCUCCUAUUCCAAGCAAGUAGCCAGGCUAAUUGCCGCCUUACUUCAGGGAAGUCUGUGGCAGAAGCUUGAAAGCAAAUGACCUACUACACCUGCUUGUGUCCUGGUCUUCAAGAGCUUGGGUUCCUGAAGUGGAUUAUGCUGGAGGAACACAGGUAGAAGCAGAAGUAACAAAGGAGAGAAGGAGACUGCCCUACUGCCCUAUACCAGGAAGGUGUGGUGGUUUCCACAAUCAUCAAGGGGCCUGUGUCCUACUUCUAGCAGAACCUGGGGAAGAAGACAAGGAUUCUGCGGAGCCUAACUGUGUGGUGAAGCUAGGGAGGCUGUACCCUUGGCAACAGGGCUUCCAUUGUGAAGAAAGAUGCCUGCAGGCCAAGAAGAGCAGAGAAACAGAGUCACUGCCAUUCAACAGUUCAUGACAACUUCAACAAUAGGGCCACCAUAAUGAGCCAAAAAUUAGGAGCAAUUCUCCUGUGUUUUAAGGAACCACAAAGUCUCUGAGAGACUGAAGAAGAGAGAACACCCAAAUGACAAAUUAAAUUUACCUCCAGCAAGGUGGGAUUAAGGCUCACAGAAAUAUCCAGCACACUCUCCUCACAUCUACUGGGGUCCAAGGCCUCAACAGCACAGUCUCCUCAACCUGCUGCUCCAGACAUUUCGCUUUUCUUCCUCUGCUUGAAUCCUACAAUCGCAAUGCUUUCCUGCCUCUGUGUUUGCUUGGAAUUUUUUGUCCUUUGGCAAUUUAAUGCUUGUAUUCAUCCAUUUAAUAAUAAGUGCCCAUCUUUUCUAUCUUCAAAUACUUGCCCUUCAUAAGGUUCUCCCUGACCCCUCUGAAAAGCCAUAAUUUCCUCCUUUACAUCUCCAAGUUUUGUACUUCUCUUGGGACAUUUACCCUGUACUACUUUUUGUUAUCAUUUCACAUCUGCUCCUCCCAACAUCUUAAACAUUUAUUGAACAUCUACUAAGCAUCCUAAAGACAGUGACUGUUUCCCAAGUACCUAGCAUAACACCAUAUGCCAUUGACCUUAGGACACUAAACUGAACAGAGCACAGAGCCUGUCCUCAAAGUUCUCAAAGUCUAUGUAUCAUGCUCAGGGAUCACAGGAUUGUAUGUAGUAACUUCUCAGCCUUUGUUGAUCUUGAUUGUCAGCACUUUAAAGCUCCAUUCAGCUACUUAUGUAAAAUUUAAGCAAAAUGAGGAAGAUAAUUUCGUUGGAGAGAAAGCUUCUGGAUGCUUCAGAAUAUGCCACCUCACCUGAAUGGUAACCAUUACACUUGUAAAUAAGAUAAAAUAGCAAGAAAAAUAUAAACAUA